rnacentral:rRNA from 1 species
CGACGUUUGACUCCUGGCUCUGAAGUCAACGCUGGCGGCGUGCCUCAGACAUGCGAGUCGAACGAUUGAAUACUUUCCUUUGGGGAAGAUACUAAAGUGGCGCACGGGUGAGUAACACAUAGGUACAUGUACCUUUGGGNGGGGAAUAACUUACGUGGAAACUUAAGCUAAUACCGCAUAAUACAGUCGGCUCCUACGGGAGACACUUGUUACACACUUAUCACCCACAGAGCAGUCCUACCGCAGCUUAGCUACUAGGUAUCGUAACGGCUGACCAUCUGCUACUAUCUGUGACCGACCUGAUAGGGUGGUCAGACACUACUGACUCUGAAUAACAGGUCAGACUCCUAAGGGACGCAGCUACCUCCGGACUGCCUUGGCUAUGUGCCGACUUCCUGCACCCUUGGCCCACGACCUCGUUCGAAGGGAUGAGCGCUCUCCUCUAGGGGAUGUUUAUGACUCCUUUUAAUNAAUUNUGUACAGUUNUNUUUCGACCCGUUCCUAUUCGGUGUCGGUAAUCCGCUUAUCCUUACUCUNUCUGGUUAACCCCUUUUNUCUUUCCCUAAGGGACCCUAAUUCNUUCCUUAAGGGAUUUCAUUUUUGGACGUCAAAAUGGNCUUCUUUNGCCGCUUU